AACGUAGGUCACAAGCGUUGUCCGGAAUUACUGGGUGUAAAGGGAGCGCAGGCGGGAAGACAAGUUGGAAGUGAAAUCCAUGGGCUCAACCCAUGAACUGCUUUCAAAACUGUUUUUCUUGAGUAGUGCAGAGGUAGGCGGAAUUCCCGGUGUAGCGGUGGAAUGCGUAGAUAUCGGGAGGAACACCAGUGGCGAAGGCGGCCUACUGGGCGCCAACUGACGCUGAGGCUCGAAAGUGUGGGUAGCAAACAGG
rnacentral:rRNA from 1 species